ACUGCAUGGCUGAUGGGCCCCAACGGGUUACUGACGUCAACCAAACUCCGAAUGCUGGUAAGUGAGAGCACGGCAGUGAGACUGUGGGGGAUAAGCUUCAUAGUCGAAAGGGAAACAGCCCAGACCACCGACUAAGGCCCCUAAGCGUGUGCUAAGUGGGAAAGGAUGUGGAGUUGCUCAGACAACCAGGAGGUUGGCUUAGAAGCAGCCACCCUUGAAAGAGUGCGUAAUAGCUCACUGGUCAAGUGAUUCCGCGCCGAUAAUGUAGCGGGGCUCAAGUACACCGCCGAAGUCGUGG
rnacentral:rRNA from 14 species